UCGUGCGUCUUGAAUUGUUUAAAUUGCAAAGAAUCAUAUUUUGUCUGUAUUACCGAUUGACUAUUAUCUUCAAGCAUCAAAAGUAUUUCUCGAAUGUUCUACAAAAUCAUUCUAGCCGAGAUUUUACAAAAGGGUGCACAUAACAUUCAGGUGCUAAGUACGCGAAGAACCAGAUUUACCCGGUGUAUGAUGCCGGUACAAUCAGCCUUAUUCUUCUUCUCGAUCUUGGAUUAUCCGUUUGUGCUUGGAAAGUUCGCGUUUUGCAACGCCGUGAAUGAUAGCAAUAGAUGUGAAAAAUUGCGAAGUCGAUGAUGAUAUCCGUGUUUUUGGGGACAGCAAUGAAGUUUUCCAGGCAAGUUCCAGGCUGUAUUGCGGUAAAAAAUAUAGUGACGUCGCUGAGAACAAGAUUGUCACCGUUCCAUGCUGAUUUAUGCGCCCCUUGCAGUUGCAUUCCAUCGUAUGUUUGGGAGCCGAAUUGAAAGCUCACCAGGAGUUUAAAAUAAUGCCACAGUAUAAUAUUCCAGAAUAAAAGGUUGCGGUUAGUUUUGAGUCCCAACUGUUACGACAU